rnacentral:rRNA from 1 species
UAGGGAAUUUUCGUCAAUGGGGGGAACCCUGAACGAGCAAUGCCGCGUGUGUGAAGAAGGUCUUCGGAUCGUAAAGCACUGUUGUAAGUGAAGAAUGCCAUAUAGAGGAAAUGCUAUGUGGGUGACGGUAGCUUACCAGAAAGCCACGGCUAACUACGUGCCAGCAGCCGCGGUAAUACGUAGGUGGCAAGCGUUAUCCGGAAUCAUUGGGCGUAAAGGGUGUGUAGGUGGCACGAUAAGUCUGAAGUAAAAGGCAACAGCUCAACUGUUGUAUGCUUUGGGAAACUGUCGAGCUAGAGUGCAGAAGAGGGCGAUGGAAUUCCAUGUGUAGCGGUAAAAUGCGUAGAUAUAUGGAGGAACACCAGUGGCGAAGGCGGUCGCCUGGUCUGUAACUGACACUGAUGCACGAAAGCGUGGGGAGCAAAUAGGAUUAGAUACC